GAAUAUAAAACGUCGUUGAAGGCUACCGACCGAGCCUUAUUAGGUUUGGAAUGAACACUUUUUUCCCCGAAUAUACAAGUCAUUGGAUUUGAUCGAAUUGGGCUCAAAUUUGGAGGAGCAUAUUUUUUCUUGACCUAUUUUCGACGAAAGAAUCGGCGGCAAAACCACUGAGAAGU
rnacentral:lncRNA from 1 species